CCCUUACUCUACUUCACAAUGGCGUCAACCUUCCGCAUUGCCUUGAGAAAUGGGGUGUGUAGGAGGGCCAAAGGCCACAAAGCUCACAACUGAAGAAGCGAUUGGCGAAGAAAUGGCCAUGAGGAGGCUGAAGAAGCAGCUUCGAGGAGGUUCGAGGCGGUGGAGUGGUUAAGGAAAAUGGAUCGUGGAGCAGUGGAGAUCCCGUAGGGAGAGCCGUCGGAGGAAGAGUUUUGCCUUGCGUUGCGUAAUGGGUUGAUCCUUUGUAAUGUUUUGAAUAAGGUUAAUCCUGGAGCUAUUCCCAAGGUUGUAGAUAACCCUGCUGUUGCCGUUCAGUUGGCUGAUGGAAUAGCUCAAUCAGCGUUCAAUAUUUUGAGAACAUGAGGAACUUCCUCGUUGCUGUCAAUGAAAUGAAACUUCUUACAUUUGAAGCAUCCGAUCUAGAAAAGCUUUGUGUUGUAAUGAAGAAAACAAUGGGGGAGGACAACAAAACAAUUUCCAAAGCAACAUUUUUUGAAGUUAUUUCAAAGCAUCUUGAAGAAUAUGGGAGCAACUCCCCUUAUCAUGCUACAAGUUCAGAUGCAAGCAAUUUGGAUGUUGUUGAUUUUCAACAUAAACAAGCUGGAGGUAACAUUAUUUUUGCCCCCUAAAUGAUAAGUUCAUUGCUAUUGUUUCUUUUAUUUUAGAUGUACAAAGUAAAAGAUAAUACUUACUGUGUCUUUUUUUAGUGGGUAACUUGGAUAAGAAGCUGCUUCAUUUAGGUUGUAUAAAAUUCAUCAUAUUAUCAAGGAAGCUUAGACAAAGUUGAUAGUAAGAGCUUGCUUAUUCUGAUGCAGACCUUGCAAUAUAUUUUCUAUGGGUAGAGGAGAGAGUCAGGAAAAAAGGUGAAAAAGGGAAAGCUUCCCAUAUGUAUCAAUAAACCAUGUUCAUAUUACCAUUAUAUUCUUAACCACCAUCAACUUUGGCAUUUUUCGUCAUUAUGGAUUGAUGGCCCAUCCAUUGAGUUCGCUUUAGAAAAGUAUAAACGCUUUAUUCCCAUUUCAUCAUAAAGUAAAGUUUAUUUCUAGUCGGGAACCUAUUGAGCUUAAUCUUUAACAUUUGUUGAUCUUUUUAUGUUUGAAUUGAUUUAUGAUUCUAAUUUGUUGAGUCCAAUCCUACAUCCCGAACAUAUUAAUGUUGAUCUCAAUACUAGUGUCGGGGUUGAGUCAACCACACAUGGUAAGUUUCGAAGACAAAAGACCACGGUGUCACACGAAACUUGCUCGACACGCAUCGACCGAAAAUCGAAAUUGCCGAAUUGGCCUCUAUUCGCAUAACGGACAGUGCCAGCUCGUCCAGAGAAAUGGAAACAACUAAGAUCGACAUCCAUAUUGAUUGGGAUCAUCAAUCGGCGAAAAUUUAAAAUUUUCAUGCGCAUAUCAAGCCGGCAUUGAUGUGAGCAACAACGACGAUCAAUUUGAUGCAUGAUUAUUAAAUUUUUUUAUUAAUUUUAUUUUUUUUUAAAACUAAUUACUAAUAAUAAUAAAAAAAGAAAUUAAUAAAAAAAAGAAAAAAAUCUAAAUAAUUCUUAAAUUACCCCCAUACUCUCAUAUCCCAUCCCACUCUGUCCCUCAUGCCACUCAUGACAUUCACACUCCAAACCGCAUAGCACGAACUCCCUCUCCUUUCUCGGCUUCCUCUCUCUCAUACGCCUUCAACCGCUGGCCACCAAGGUUUCAUGCGUUGUGACGUCUCGCCAUCGCUUCCACUGUGCACCUAAGAUAUAUCCCUGACAUUUGCUAUUUUAAAAUUUGCCUAUGUAUGAAAUAUAAGUACUCAUGACUACUUUUAUUGGCGAGCGGAGAAAUAUAAGUACUCAUGAUCUCUUUCAUUAGCUAGUGAGAAAAUUUGUAUUAAUAUAUAAGUACCCCAUGACUGCUUUUAUUAAUGAGCGAAGAAAUUUGUUUGCAUGAGAUAAGUACCCAUAACCACUUUUAUUAACGAGUAGGAAAAUUUAUUUGCAUGAGAAAGUAUUCGUGAUAGCUUUUAUUAGCGAGCAGGAAAAUUUAUUUGCAUCAGCUAAGUACAUGUGAUCGAUUUUAUUAGCGAGUAGGAAAAUUUGUUAUAUAUAAAAAAACUAGUACUCAUGACCAUUUUUUUAGUAGGUGGGAAAAUGUUAUGUUUUAUAAACAGGUACUUGAAAACCCAUGACCGCUUUUAUUAGCGAGCGGGAAAUAAAAUUUCGGCUGCAGUGUCACCUGACACCUGCCAUAACUGCAUUUAUUAGUAGGCGGGUAAGCUUAACAUGCCCGAUGUAACCCUGUAUGUGGGGAUGAAGUUGGGGUGUUGCCAAAAUUUAUAAUAAAAUAAUUGAGUUAGAUAAAAUUUAAAUAGGUUAACACCUAAUGUAGCUCCUAAGUCAACAAGAAAUGAAACAUGCAUGAAAACAUAAUUUGCAAAUGUUGAAAAGAAAAAAAAUGAAUGAAAACGUAAUGAACUUGUAAAUGAAUUUUUUCUUGCUUGUCAACCAACACAAGCACAAACUAGAUUUUUCCCCUUAGCUCCAAGCUCGCGCACACACUCAAAUCACUUAGCAACACACACUCUAAACUGAAAUGAACAAAAGCAGGGUUCCCUAUUUAUAACUCGGGAAAUUGAUCCCUUUUGGGACUUGUUGAGCUAAACUCUAAAUACAAAAUGAUAAAAUGAGUCAUAGGUGCAUAAGUGUUCUGGUAGCAUGCACGUCAGCUGUUAAAAUUAGGCUCGUAUACACCCCGUGAAUGUCAUAUGUCAUGUGAACAUUGGCCUUUGAAAAGAAAUAAAAUAACACACUGUUACGUGUCACGGGUUGUACAACCCUUCAUUAAAGUGCACAUGACGCGCUAAAUCAUUAAAAGAGGUGUCAUCGUUGAGUCCCUAUUAUAUUAUGCAUGCAUACUAAAUCAUAUACAAGCAUAUCAUAUGCACAUACUAAUGGUACGCAAGUGCAUCAUAUAUACAUAUUGAAAUAUAUAUAAGUAUGUUACGUAAAUUCAUCAAAGAUUGUGCAAGCACAUAAUGCAACAUACAAAAGCGUCAUGAAAACAUGCUAUCCAACAUGCUAAUAUAUCAUAUACAUGUUAUUCAACAUGUUAAUGGUUCAUGUACAUGCUUUAUGCAGCAUGCAUUUGCGUCAUGCAAUAGUAUUGUCCAACCUUGCAACAUGCAUAUGCAAUAUCUGAUAUGUAAAUGCAUAAUACAUAUUAGUCAUGUAACACAUAAAUGUGUUACACAAGUAUGUAUGCAAACCUAAUCCAAAAAUUUGGGUUUUGACUUCCCUUGAGGUUGCUAGCUCAUUAAUUUUUGAGCUGAAAUUUAGCUCAUUAUGAGCCGGUUUUUAGUUCAUUUAUUGAACUAAAAGUUAGCUCAUUAUGAGCUCUAUUUUUAGUUCAUUUAUUAAUUUAUAACUCAUUAAUCUUUUCCCUUCUCCUCCCCUUUUCUUCUUAAAAUUUUGAGCUUUGCCCCGUGGGUUUCCGUGGCUGACUGUGGUGGGUGGUUUUCCCGUGCCUUGGUUCCUCGGUUCUGUGCGGGCCUCCUUGGUUCUUGCUGCUGUCUCUUCGAGUUCCGCCUGGGCUUCUUUCUCGUGGCUGUUGGGUGGGUUUUCCUUGACUUUUGGUGCUUUGUUUCCUGUGUAGAAUUGGGAAUAUUAUGAGGUGGCUGUUGGCUUAUCAUUUCUUUCAUUUAAUUUGUGAGGAGUUUUUGGGGCUGUUUGGUUUCUCCUCUCAUG